rnacentral:rRNA from 1 species
ACGCACGCUGGCGGCGUGCUUAACACAUGCAAGUCGAACGGAAAGGCCCUGCUUUUGUGGGGUGCUCGAGUGGCGAACGGGUGAGUAACACGUGAGUAACCUGCCCUUGACUUUGGGAUAACUUCAGGAAACUGGGGCUAAUACCGGAUAGGAGCUCCUGCUGCAUGGUGGGGGUUGGAAAGUUUCUGCGGUUGGGGAUGGACUCGCGGCUUAUCAGCUUGUUGGUGGGGUAGUGGCUUACCAAGGCUUUGACGGGUAGCCGGCCUGAGAGGGUGACCGGCCACAUUGGGACUGAGAUACGGCCCAGACUCCUACGGGAGGCAGCAGUGGGGAAUAUUGCACAAUGGGCGGAAGCCUGAUGCAGCAACGCCGCGUGCGGGAUGACGGCCUUCGGGUUGUAAACCGCUUUCGCCUGUGACGAAGCGUGAGUGACGGUAAUGGGUAAAGAAGCACCGGCUAACUACGUG